GAUGAACGCUGGCGGCGUGCUUAACACAUGCAAGUCGAACGAAGCACCUCUCCCGAAGAUUGACACAGCUUGCUGUAGAUUGAUUCAUUUGAGGUGACUGAGUGGCGGACGGGUGAGUAACGCGCGGGUAACCUGCCUCAUAGAGGGGGACAACAGUUGGAGACGACUGCUAAUACCGCAUAGUAAGAAGAAUUCGCAUGUUUUCUUCUUGAAAGAUUUAUCGCUAUGAGAUGGACCCGCGUCUGAUUAGCUAGUUGGUAAGGUAACGGCUUACCAAGGCGACGAUCAGUAGCCGGCUUGAGAGAGUGAACGGCCACAUUGGGACUGAGACACGGCCCAAACUCCUACGGGAGGCAGCAGUGGGGAAUAUUGCACAAUGGGGGAAACCCUGAUGCAGCGACGCCGCGUGAGUGAAGAAGUAUUUCGGUAUGGAAAGCUCUAUCAGCAGGGAAGAUAAUGACGGUACCUGACUAAGAAGCCCCGGCUAACUACGUG
rnacentral:rRNA from 1 species